UACGUAGGGGGCAAGCGUUGUCCGGAAUUACUGGGUGUAAAGGGAGUGUAGGCGGGUAUUUAAGUCAGAUGUGAAAUCCACGGGCUCAACUUGUGGUCUGCAUUUGAAACUGGAUAUCUUGAGUGCUGGAGAGGAAAGCGGAAUUCCUAGUGUAGCGGUGAAAUGCGUAGAUAUUAGGAGGAACACCAGUGGCGAAGGCGGCUUUCUGGACAGUAACUGACGCUGAGGCUCGAAAGCGUGGGGAGCAAACAGG
rnacentral:rRNA from 2 species